UACGGAGGAUCCAAGCGUUUAUCCGGAAUCAUUGGGUUUAAAGGGUCCGUAGGCGGUUUAAUAAGUCAGUGGUGAAAGCCCAUCGCUCAACGGUGGAACGGCCAUUGAUACUGUUAAACUUGAAUUAUUAGGAAGUAACUAAGAAUAUGUAGUGUAGCGGUGAAAUGCUUAGAGAUUACAUGGAAUACCAAUUGCGAAGGCAGGUUACUACUAAUGGAUUGACGUGAUGGACGAAAGCGUGGGUAGCGAACAGGA
rnacentral:rRNA from 1 species